AUGGCCAUGAUCUCCAAGUCACCGAUCCUCCAAGUUUCUAGUCUGAAAAAGGAAAGUAACCAUCUGAAGGGCAUACCUCUGCAGCCAGGGGUGCUGCUGGCUUCAUCUCACUUACUUUUGAUACCACAGCAUCUUUCUAGAACUGGCAGGAAGAGGGACAAUGGAUUUCCAGUGGGGUUUCCCAAGCUCCAGGCCUCAGGCUGCGUCUGGGGAGGCCGCGCCCCCGCGGGUCUACACUGGCUGCCUGGGCCCACGUUGGCAAGGAAACGCUCCUUUUCUGGGAAAGGUUGGCAGAGAAUGAUCCCGGCAGGAAAUGGCCAUCCGUGGGCCUCUGAGAAGAGAUAA
rnacentral:lncRNA from 12 species